rnacentral:rRNA from 1 species
UACAGAGGUGCAAGCGUUGUUCGGAAUUACUGGGCGUAAAGGGCGAGUAGGCGGCCUUCUAAGUCAGACGUGAAAUCCCCGGGCUCAACCCGGGAACUGCGUCCGAUACUGGCAGGCUUGAAUCCGGGAGAGGGAUGCGGAAUUCCAGGUGUAGCGGUGAAAUGCGUAGAUAUCUGGAGGAACACCGGUGGCGAAGGCGGCAUCCUGGACCGGCAUUGACGCUGAGGCGCGAAAGCCAGGGGAGCAACGGG